UGGGCCCUCGACUAUUAACUCUCUCUGUGAGAGAAAAUAUUCAAGCGAAAAAAAAUCUUUUGUUUGAAAUAUGGGUUUAUAUAAAUCAAUAGGACAACAUUUUUUUUUAAAAAAAAUAAAGUAAUUUAUUUUCUUUAUCAGUCUAAGAAGUUCACAUUCAUCAGCAGUUCCGAAGCAGACUCGGGUGUCUUCAGGAGUCACGGCACAGUUGCUAAUGAACCGUGUAGGCCAAACAUAUGAGUUCUUUUGAUAACACGUAUGAAGACAUCUAUCUAAAACUCACCUCUGUGGCUUCAUUCUCAGCGUAGAACACAUGUAAGAAACUAUAACUGUUGGCCUUCCUCCUCCUUGAGGAUUCACUUCCAGCAAUGGCUUUCAGGUCCAGGAUAAUGUCAUUUCAUCAUCUCACUGGCAGCCAUUCCUACAAAGGAGGGAAGCCUGCUUUCUGGAGAUACGUAGGAAGAUGCGGAAGCAGAAAUGCUGACACGUGCUGGCCACGGGGAGAUUGCAACAUCAGCUCCGAGAACUUGCUAAGGCAGCUGCUGGAUUUCAAGCACUCAAAGGAACAUCAACAACACAUACAGUUUGCGUGAAACCAUCCACACACCUCAUGGUUUAUUUCAUAAUCCAGAUGUGUUGAGUCAACUCCUCCCAUGCAUGUGUGAACACUGUCAGGAAAAAAAAGUGGGGGCAGGAAAAGGGGUGGAAAUAAAACAGAGCGGGAAUGAGGAGGAAAAAAAACCAUUUUUUUAUGACCAAGUCUCUACUUCUGCAUUUCACAAUUCAGUAGACGCUAGGAACGCAGUAUGAUUUGUGUCCCAAACAGGAAGAAGGCUGUUGCAAGUGGAAGCAGCCACGUAGAGUGUGCAGGCUUGGCUAUGACUGUGAAGCCACCUGGUGGUGUGUUUCCAUCUUUAUGCUCUUCUUAGUAUCUUAGCUUCAUCGGUAUAUGAGGUACCCUGGCCUUGAAUGCAACAAGGAUGACGUAUUUACUCUGCUUUAAAAGAAUCAGAUGUAUUUAUUUCUUU